CAAAACGCAAAGAAAGUUGGUUGCUAUACAAUACUCCUGGUAAGGAACUCGAAGAAAGAAAGCGAUUUGGCAUCGCUGCAGCAGCUAGAGAGAUCUUAAAAGAGAUGCUUAGCUUACCUCUUUACAUGUAUCAAAAACAAGAACACCCAAUAUUCCAAGCCUGGUUCACAUCCAAGAGAUCGAAGAGGUCAAUGCUUCGGUCAAUGCAGACGAGAGAGUUGAGGUCAACAGCCAAGUCUCCAUGAUUUGCUUAUUAUUUGGAUCCUCAAAAACAAAGAGCAAUACCAUGAGAAUAUUCGAAAGCAAUAAUUGAAGGAGCUUAAGCCAAGAUGCCAUUCAUAUAUAUUACGAUAUUAGGUAAAAAGAUUCCCUGGAACGGUGGACGAGAUUGCGUUUGAAGGAAAAGAAGCGGUAUUAUUUUGACUCACAAUCUUGGAACAAGUACAAAUAAGUCCUUCUCCUUUAUAGUCUGGCUAAUCUGCCCCCAAGCUUUGUCUUGCCUUGGCCUUUUGCCCUCUCUCACACUGCUGGUAUAAAUCAUGCUCGUCUUCUGUUUUCGCAGAUUCAAAACCCCAGCACUUAUAUUUGGAAUACCAUGAUUAGAGGCUACUCUGAAGCCAAAAUGGGCCAUAGUGGCUUCUUGUUUUUCUGCCAAAUGCUUCAGAAUGGCGCUGAAAUGGACUGUAGGAGCUUUGUUCUUGCGCUCAAAGCGUGCGAGCAGUUUUUGAGAGUUUUAGGAGGGAAAUCAGUUCAUUGUGGUAUUCGAAAGAUGGGUUUUGUUUAUGCUAUGUUGUUUCAAGAUGGGUUGGCUCCUUUUUAUGAUCUGCGUGGUUGUAUGGGUUUUGCUUGACACUUGUUUGAUGGAAUUCCUGCAAGAGAUGGAGUUUCUGUCUAUGACUGAUGGGUAUUCUAAGCGUAACUGUUGGGAUGAGACUGGAAGCUUUUUGACUCGAUGUCAGUGGAGGGCAAUGUAGAGCCAGAAGAGGUCACUAUGAUAGCCGCUCGUUCAGCUUGCUCGCAGAAGGGGGGUUUGAGAUUAGGGAAGAGUUUUCACGAAUAUGUAAAACUAGAAAUGCAAGUCACCAUGAAUGUGAAAUGUGGCUGCUUGGAUUCUGCAAGAGGGAUCUUUGAUACCAUGGGAGUUAGAGAUGUGUUCUCUUGGACGAGCAUGGUUAAUGGGUAUGCUAAAAGCGGUGAGCUAGAGCUGGCAAGGAUGUCGUUUAAUGAGAUGCCGGAGAGGAAUGUGGUUUCCUGGAGUGCCAUGAUUGCUGGGUAACCACCCAUAGGAAGCUUUAGAAUGGUUUGUAACAUGCUGGAGCCUGUGUUUGUUCCAAUGGUGAACAUUAGUUCGUGUGCUCUCUGCUUGUGUUCAAUUGGAUUGCUUGGAAUUUGGUCAGUGAAUCCAUUGAAACUGCAUCAUUGUUACAAAACACAACGAACCAGUGUGAUCAUAGCGAACGCGUUCAUUGACAUGUAUGCUAAAUGUGGGGUCAUACAUGAAGCUGAAAAAAGGGAGUGUCAGCGUUUGGAGUCUCUUCUUGCUGAAGUAGAGAAGGGUGUGGUAGUUUGAGAAGAAUGAGAUUUUUAUAGUUAAAUCAGCUUGUGCUCUCAUCAAUGAUACUCGGCAUUCAGUAUCUGAGAAUUUUGGGACUUUAUUCUGGCAAGGUAUAUUUUCUUCUAAAAUUGAGAUGUUUCUGUGGUUUUUGUUAAA